GGGUUGUGAGGUUAAGCGACUAAGCGUACACGGUGGAUGCCCUGGCAGUCAGAGGCGAUGAAGGGCGUGCUAAUCUGCGAUAAGCGCCGGUAAGGUGAUAUGAACCGUUAUAACCGGCGAUACCCGAAUGGGGAAACCCAGUGUGAUUCGUCACACUAUCAUUAACUGAAUCCAUAGGUUAAUGAGGCGAACCGGGGGAACUGAAACAUCUAAGUACCCCGAGGAAAAGAAAUCAACCGAGAUUCCCCCAGUAGCGGCGAGCGAACGGGGAGGAGCCCAGAGCCUGAAUCAGCAUGUGUGUUAGUGGAAGCGUCUGGAAAGGCGCGCGAUACAGGGUGACAGCCCCGUACACAAAAGCGCAUGUGCUGUGAGCUCGAUGAGUAGGGCGGGACACGUGGUAUCCUGUCUGAAUAUGGGGGGACCAUCCUCCAAGGCUAAAUACUCCUGACUGACCGAUAGUGAACCAGUACCGUGAGGGAAAGGCGAAAAGAACCCCGGCGAGGGGAGUGAAAAAGAACCUGAAACCGUGUACGUACAAGCAGUGGGAGCCCCACCACUAAGCCAGUGGUGAACUCCACAUCCGCAUCCUUUGCUGAGGAUACGGUUAACGGAGCGAAAGCGACGUUCAACCGCAAAACAAGCAGAGGGGGCUUAGUGGUGGGGUGACUGCGUACCUUUUGUAUAAUGGGUCAGCGACUUAUAUUCUGUAGCAAGGUUAACCGAAUAGGGGAGCCGGAGGGAAACCGAGUCUUAAUUGGGCGUUAAGUUGCAGGGUAUAGACCCGAAACCCGGUGAUCUAGCCAUGGGCAGGUUGAAGGUUGGGUAACACUAACUGGAGGACCGAACCGACUAAUGUUGAAAAAUUAGCGGAUGACCUGUGGCUGGGGGUGAAAGGCCAAUCAAACCGGGAGAUAGCUGGUUCUCCCCGAAAGCUAUUUAGGUAGCGCCUCGUGAAUUCAUCUCCGGGGGUAGAGCACUGUUUCGGCUAGGGGGCCAUCCCGGCUUACCAACCCGAUGCAAACUGCGAAUACCGGAGAAUGUUAUCACGGGAGACACACGGCGGGUGCUAACGUCCGUCGUGAAGAGGGAAACAACCCAGACCGCCAGCUAAGGUCCCAAAGUCAUGGUUAAGUGGGAAACGAUGUGGGAAGGCCCAGACAGCCAGGAUGUUGGCUUAGAAGCAGCCAUCAUUUAAAGAAAGCGUAAUAGCUCACUGGUCGAGUCGGCCUGCGCGGAAGAUGUAACGGGGCUAAACCAUGCACCGAAGCUGCGGCAGCGAACGUAUCACUUAAAGCGAUUCAGCGGGUUACGAUUGACGGAGCGAAGCGACGUCAAAGCGUAUACAAAGUCGAGUCGGUUUAAGGAUACGUUCGUUGGGUAGGGGAGCGUUCUGUAAGCCCGUGAAGGUGGCCUGUGAGGGUUGCUGGAGGUAUCAGAAGUGCGAAUGCUGACAUAAGUAACGAUAAAGCGGGUGAAAAGCCCGCUCGCCGGAAGACCAAGGGUUCCUGUCCAACGUUAAUCGGGGCAGGGUGAGUCGACCCCUAAGGCGAGGCCGAAAGGCGUAGUCGAUGGGAAACGGGUUAAUAUUCCCGUACUUGGUGUUACUGCGAAGGGGGGACGGAGAAGGCUAUGUUGGCCGGGCGACGGUUGUCCCGGUUUAAGCGUGUAGGUGUGUGUUCCAGGUAAAUCCGGUUCACUUUAACACUGAGGCGUGACGACGAGGCACUACGGUGCUGAAGCAACAAAUGCCCUGCUUCCAGGAAAAGCCUCUAAGCAUCAGGUAACAUCAAAUCGUACCCCAAACCGACACAGGUGGUCAGGUAGAGAAUACCAAGGCGCUUGAGAGAACUCGGGUGAAGGAACUAGGCAAAAUGGUGCCGUAACUUCGGGAGAAGGCACGCUGACACGUAGGUGAAGUGAUUUACUCAUGGAGCUGAAGUCAGUCGAAGAUACCAGCUGGCUGCAACUGUUUAUUAAAAACACAGCACUGUGCAAACACGAAAGUGGACGUAUACGGUGUGACGCCUGCCCGGUGCCGGAAGGUUAAUUGAUGGGGUCAGCGCAAGCGAAGCUCCUGAUCGAAGCCCCGGUAAACGGCGGCCGUAACUAUAACGGUCCUAAGGUAGCGAAAUUCCUUGUCGGGUAAGUUCCGACCUGCACGAAUGGCGUAAUGAUGGCCAGGCUGUCUCCACCCGAGACUCAGUGAAAUUGAACUCGCUGUGAAGAUGCAGUGUACCCGCGGCAAGACGGAAAGACCCCGUGAACCUUUACUAUAGCUUGACACUGAACAUUGAGCCUUGAUGUGUAGGAUAGGUGGGAGGCUUUGAAGUGUGGACGCCAGUCUGCAUGGAGCCGACCUUGAAAUACCACCCUUUAAUGUUUGAUGUUCUAACGUGGACCCGUUACCCGGGUUGCGGACAGUGUCUGGUGGGUAGUUUGACUGGGGCGGUCUCCUCCUAAAGAGUAACGGAGGAGCACGAAGGUUGGCUAAUCCUGGUCGGACAUCAGGAGGUUAGUGCAAUGGCAUAAGCCAGCUUGACUGCGAGCGUGACGGCGCGAGCAGGUGCGAAAGCAGGUCAUAGUGAUCCGGUGGUUCUGAAUGGAAGGGCCAUCGCUCAACGGAUAAAAGGUACUCCGGGGAUAACAGGCUGAUACCGCCCAAGAGUUCAUAUCGACGGCGGUGUUUGGCACCUCGAUGUCGGCUCAUCACAUCCUGGGGCUGAAGUAGGUCCCAAGGGUAUGGCUGUUCGCCAUUUAAAGUGGUACGCGAGCUGGGUUUAGAACGUCGUGAGACAGUUCGGUCCCUAUCUGCCGUGGGCGCUGGAGAACUGAGGGGGGCUGCUCCUAGUACGAGAGGACCGGAGUGGACGCAUCACUGGUGUUCGGGUUGUCAUGCCAAUGGCACUGCCCGGUAGCUAAAUGCGGAAGAGAUAAGUGCUGAAAGCAUCUAAGCACGAAACUUGCCCCGAGAUGAGUUCUCCCUGAGACUUAGAGUCUCCUGAAGGAACGUUGAAGACGACGACGUUGAUAGGCCGGGUGUGUAAGCGCAGCGAUGCGUUGAGCUAACCGGUACUAAUGAACCGUGAGGCUUAACCUUACAACGCCGAAG
rnacentral:rRNA from 3 species